rnacentral:rRNA from 1 species
CGAGAGUAAGCUAAUCUCUUAAAGCCGUUCUCAGUUCGGACUGUAGGCUGCAACUCGCCUACACGAAGUCGGAAUCGCUAGUAAUCGCGGAUCAGCAUGCUGCGGUGAAUACGUUCCCGGGCCUUGUACACACCGCCCGUCACACCAUGGGAGUUUGUAACGCCCGAAGCCGGUGACCCAACCAAACGGAGGGAGCCGUCGAAGGUGGGACCGAUAACUGGGGUGAAGUCGUAACAAGGUAAC